rnacentral:tRNA from 5 species
GUUUUAAUAGUUUAAUAAAAACACUGGUUUUGUAAACCAAAAUUAAGAAAGCACUUUUAAAACU